rnacentral:misc_RNA from 1 species
AGGAGGUAAAAUUCUUCA